GGGUCCUUAGUUCAGUGGUUAGAACCCUCCGCUCAUAACGGAGCUGUCGCAGGUUCAAAUCCUGCAGGGCCCA
rnacentral:tRNA from 1 species